ACGUAUGGUGCAAGCGUUAUCCGGAUUUACUGGGUGUAAAGGGAGCGUAGACGGAGUGGCAAGUCUGAUGUGAAAACCCGGGGCUCAACCCCGGGACUGCAUUGGAAACUGUCAAUCUAGAGUACCGGAGAGGUAAGCGGAAUUCCUAGUGUAGCGGUGAAAUGCGUAGAUAUUAGGAGGAACACCGGUGGCGAAGGCGGCUUACUGGACGGUAACUGACGUUGAGGCUCGAAAGCGUGGGGAGCAAACAG
rnacentral:rRNA from 1 species